UACGUAGGGUGCAGGCGUUAAUCGGAAUUACUGGGCGUAAAGCGUGCGCAGGCGGUCUAUUAAGUCAGGUGUGAAAUCCCCGGGCUUAACCUGGGAACUGCGCUUGUUACUGAUAGGCUUGAGUGUGGCAGAGGGGGGUGGAAUUCCGCGUGUAGCAGUGAAAUGCGUAGAGAUGCGGAGGAACACCGAUGGCGAAGGCAGCCCCCUGGGCUAACACUGACGCUCAGGCACGAAAGCGUGGGGAGCAAACAGG
rnacentral:rRNA from 1 species